rnacentral:rRNA from 1 species
GUAGGGAAUAUUGGUCAAUGGGCGGAAACCUGAACCAGCCAUGCCGCGUGCAGGAAGAAGGCCCUCUGGGUUGUAAACUGCUUUUGAUAGGGAACAAAUGCCACUUGCGAGUGGAGCUGAGUGUACCUAUAGAAUAAGCACCGGCUAACUCCGUGCCAGCAGCCGCGGUAAUACGGAGGGUGCAAGCGUUGUCCGGAUUUAUUGGGUUUAAAGGGUGCGUAGGCGGCUCUUUAAGUCAGUGGUGAAAUCCUUCAGCUUAACUGGAGAACUGCCAUUGAUACUGAAGAGCUUGAGUAUAGUUGAGGUAGGCGGAAUUGACAGUGUAGCGGUGAAAUGCUUAGAUAUUGUCAAGAACACCGAUUGCGAAGGCAGCUUACUAAACUAUAACUGACGCUGAGGCACGAAAGCGUGGGUAUCAAACAGGAUUAGAAACCCUUGUAGUCC